GUUGAAGCGGAUCGUCUGCUGGGAGCCGGAGGACCGAUCACUGUCUGCGGGACAAAUUGAUCAAGUUCUCAUCGUUAGACCUGCGGUGAGAGAUUUAUUUGAAGAAGAACCCCAACUGGAAGCAAACCACUACUGAAGACGAGGGAACAGCAACAAGUGAACCAGCCCGAGGAUUGAGAGCAUCAACUGGAGAGGACUCUUCCGAAUCGGAGAUUCCAGGAUUCAGUCAGGAGACAGUUUGGUUAAAAACGAAAAGGAAUUUGUCUCCAGGAAUCUCAAACACGAUACGCCAGUUUUGCUGUCUCUAUCUAGGUAUUUAUAUAGUGGAGUCGACCGUCCUUCCUGCUCAGACUGUGGGGAGGGAUCAACUAGGUCAUCUGACCAACUGGCACGCCCGUCAUUUUCGACAGGAGAAAGACCGUUCACCUGCUCACUCAGUGGGAAUGGAUUCACUCGGUCACCUCAAUUGAAGCUACAUCAGCAAUUUCACACUGGGAAAGGACAUUCAACUGCUCUGUGUGUGAGAAGGGAUUCAGUCGGUCAUUCCACCUGUGGACACACCAGUCAGUUUCCAUUGGGCAGAGGAUGGUCAUCUGCUGAAUUUUUGGGGAAGGAUUUACUCGGUCAUCUCACCUAAUGGCGCUCCAGCGAGUUCACACUGGGGAGCAGCCGUUCACCUGCUCGGACUGUGGGAAGGGAUUCACUAAACCAAUUCCCCUACCGAGACAUCAGUCAACUGACGCUGGCGAGCGGCCAUUCACCUGCUUAGACUGUGGGAAGGGAUUGACUUUGACAUCUCACCUACUGACACACCAGCCAGUUCACACUGGGGAGAAGCCGUUCACCUGCUCGGACUGUG